rnacentral:rRNA from 1 species
AAGCUCGUAGUUGAAUUUCGGGGUUAGUAGGUUGGUCAUGCCUCAGGUAUGUACUGGUCUCACUGAUUCCUCCUUCCUUAUGAACCGUAAUGCCAUUAAUUUGGUGUUGCGGGGAAUUUGGACUGUUACUUUGAAAAAAUUAGAGUGUUUAAAGCAAGCUAACGCUUGAAUACAUUAGCAUGGAAUAAUGAAAUAGGACGUUCGAUCUUAUUUUGUUGGUUUCUUAGGAUUGACGUAAUGAUUAAUAGGGAUAGUUGGG